UCGGGAAUUUUGGGCAAUGGGCGAAAGCCUGACCCAGCAACGCCGCGUGAGGGAUGAAGUAUUUCGGUAUGUAAACCUCGAAAGAAUGGGAAGAAUAAAUGACGGUACCAUUUAUAAGCUCCGGCUAACUACGUGCCAGCAGCCGCGGUAAUACGUAGGGAGCAAGCGUUGUUCGGAUUUACUGGGCGUAAAGGGCGCGUAGGCGGCGCGGUAAGUCACUUGUGAAACCUCUGAGCUUAACUCAGAACGGCCAAGUGAUACUGCUGUGCUAGAGUGCGGAAGAGGCAACCGGAAUUCUUGGUGUAGCGGUGAAAUGCGUAGAUAUCAAGAGGAACACCUGAGGCGAAGGCGGGUUGCUGGGCCGACACUGACGCUGAUGCGCGAAAGCCAGGGGAGCAAACG
rnacentral:rRNA from 1 species